rnacentral:lncRNA from 1 species
UUGAUUUGUUCUUCGUUCUUGAACUUGAACUUGAUUUUUUGAACUUGGACUUAAUUGCUUGAAGCUUGAAAUUCGUAGAGAAAUUUACAGCAUUUGAUCCGCGAGCUCUCUCUUCAUUUUGUUAUGACUUCUCGUGGUCUUUUUUGAGUUAUGAAGACCCUUAUUUACAGUUGUGGUGGGGGGAAGAGUUAUCGUAAGAACAAAAUCUUUCCGACCAAUCA